CAGGGACGCCGGAACGAUGUGAAGGCAAGGGGGGGGGCAGAUUUUCGUGAAAGGGUACUUUUGAAUUGAUAUAUACUAAGAGAUGUUUGCAAAACAUCGGGAGUUGAACUUCGCCUAAUCAUGUUUUCUAUUUAUUGGAUGAUAGGGGUGUGAGGGGGUUCUCCGCCAGGCGAUUGCAUGUGCUAUUCUUGAAGCUCGAUGACUGCAUUUCUUGCGUUUUCUGAAGCAAAUUCGUAAAAGAAUUGCACUAACAUUUCUGACAAUUCGCUAUUUCGCCAAGGCAAUCCUUUAAAUUGAAAGGGCA
rnacentral:lncRNA from 1 species